rnacentral:lncRNA from 1 species
AGGCAUGUGUAAGGUAGGGGUGCAGAUUCUAGCAAGAAUAGAAGCAGGGAAAGAAGUAAAGGAAGAAACCCAGCUUUUUCUUUCAUGGGCUCCCUUCAGUUUCCUCUCCCAAUCUGGCCACGUGAUGUGCAUCUCCUUCAUUGCACGUGUCACAGUUAAAAUUUUACAUCUGUUGUGAUUAUUUCAUUUGCAAUUUAGUGCCUUUGAUUCAUGUCUGUCUCCCCCCCAAGUCUUCAUAAGGACAGGCCUGUGUGGUUACUUACCAUUUUAUGUCUAGUUCUCAGCACAGCACUAGGCACAUAACUGGUGCGCGCGCGCACACACACACACACACAGUUUUUGGUUGAGUGAAUGAAUGAACAUAAUCUGUGGAAGUUUUGGCCAAUAUCCCAUAAAAUAGCCCUAAGGAAAAAAAGUGAAAUGAAUUUAGUAAACACUGUAUACAGUAUUCUCCAAGCCUCUAUCCCUACCCUGUGUAUCUUUGCAUAUAAAAGACUUUGGGGGGAUCCCUGGGUGGUGCAGCGGUUUAGCGCCUGCCUUUGGCCCAGGGCGUGAUCCUGGAGACCCGGGAUUGAAUCCCACGUUGGGCUCCCGGUGCAUGGAGCCUGCUUCUCCCUCAGCCUAUGUCUCUGCCUCUCUCUCUCUGUGUGUGUGUGUGUGUGUGACUAUCAUUUAAAAAAUAAUAAUAAUAAAUUAAAAAAAAAUAAAAGACUUUGGCAGGGGCGCCUGGGUGGCUCAGUCUUAAGUGUGUGCAUUCAUUUCAGGUCAUGAUCCCAGGGUCUUGGGAUCCAGCCAGGCAUAGGGAACUCAAGAGGGAGCCUACUUACUUCUCUGGCUCCCUCUGCUGUUCUCCUCACUUGUGCUCUCUCUGGUACUCUGUCAAAUGAAUAAAUAAAAUCUUAAAAAAAUAAUAAUAAUAGAGAGACUCUGGCAAGUCCUGCAGUCAAGAAGCCCUCAAUUUAAUUUGACCACAGAAUGUAAACCAGGGUCCUCUAGGACAUACUCUGGGCAAUGUUUCUACUCAAGGGAAAGCCCCUGGAUGCCUAUGUGAGUGCUGUUUUUGGAACUAACAAACAGCAGGAAGAGUUCUAAAUGGUUCCUAAGAGGAAUUUCCCAGGAGUGAAGUUGCCCUGGUAAAUCUAGGAUUUAAGAUUUUAAAAAUAAAGCCACAAGCACAAAUAAUCUCUCUGAAUAGAAGCUGCAUCAUUAACUGAAGAAUGGGCUCUACUCAGCAGAAUUUGUACCACAAUAAAUACUUGUUCAAAGAAAGAAUGGAAAGAGAAAGUCUCUGGAUUGAUCAGAGGUCAGCUAGUGGUCCUAUCUUUUAAUAGAAAGGAGAAUCAGGGACCCCUGGGUGGCUCAGCAGUUGAACACCUGCCUUCAGCCCAGAGCAUGAUCCUGGAGCCCCAGGAUCGAGUCCCACAUUGGCUCCCACCAUGGAGCCUGCUUCUCUCUCUGCCUAUGUCUCUGUCUCUCUCUGUGUCUCUCAUGAAUAAAUAAAUAAAAUCUUAAAAAAAAAAAAAAAA